rnacentral:rRNA from 1 species
AAUAUUGGACAAUGGGGGCAACCCUGAUCCAGUCAUGCCGCGUGUGUGAAGAAGGUCUUCGGAUUGUAAAGCACUUUAAGUGGGGAGGAAGGGCUUUAGGUUAAUACCCUGAAGUUUUGACGUUACCAACAGAAUAAGCAUCGGCUCACACGGUUCCAGCAGCCGCGGUAAUACAGAGGGUGCAAGCGUUAAUCGGAAUUACUGGUUGUAAAGCGCGCGUAGGUGGUUCAGUAAGAUGGGUGUGAAAUCCCAGGGCUUAACCUGGGAACUGCUUUCAUAACUGCUGAGCUAGAGUACGGUAGAGGGUAGUGGAAUUUCCUGUGUAGCGGUGAAAUGCGUAGAUAUAGGAAGGAACACCAGUGGCGAAGGCGACUACCUGGACUGAUACUGACACUGAGGUGCGAAAGCGUGGGGAGCAAAC